rnacentral:pre_miRNA from 1 species
UAUGUACUCAUUUCGUUCCAAAAUUCUUGUCUUAGAUUUAUGUAGAUAUAAAUGUAUCUAGUCACGCUUUAGUAUUUAGAUACAUUAAUUUCUAGAUAAAACUAAGACAAUAAUUUUAGAAAGGAGGGAGUACUCU